rnacentral:rRNA from 1 species
UACGAAGGGGGCUAGCGUUGCUCGGAAUCACUGGGCGUAAAGCGCACGUAGGCGGCUUUCUAAGUCAGGGGUGAAAUCCUGGAGCUCAACUCCAGAACUGCCUUUGAUACUGGAGAGCUUGAGUCCGGGAGAGGUGAGUGGAACUCCGAGCGUAGAGGUGAAAUUCGUAGAUAUUCGCAAGAACACCAGUGGCGAAGGCGGCUUACUGGUCCGGUUCUGACGCUGAGGCGCGAAAGCGUGGGGAGCAAACAGG